UUUUGCUCCUCCAAUCAGGAGUGAAGAGGGGCGGGAGAAAAAAAGAAGAACCGGGAGAGAGAGGGGAAAAAAAAGACGCGCGCAGUGCGUGAGAGAAACCGGGAAGUUUGUAGAUUUUAGACCAUAAAGUCUUUUAUAUUCCCUUUAAGUUUAUAUUCAGUGUGUUUAGCAGCGCGCACAUGUUGCUAUAAAGACUGGAAGAAGAUCUGACUCGUGGAGUGAGUGAGAGACAUUUGGAGUUGUAUUUUGCGUAAGGAAAGUUCAUCAAAGGACUUACUCACUAUAAUUCGGUUUGAUACCCUUACGAACUGAACAUUGUGAACUGAGUAACGAACUUGCGGGAAGCAUCACUGUGAGACGAAGGACACCAGACAGCUGUGAGUGUCGUGGGCUCAACCAGUUUGCGAGCAUCGCUGGACGGCGAGUUUGGCGUUGGAUGGUAUCAGAUUACACCUGCGUGAGCCUCGUUCACUCAUCGGAUAAUUGAGAGCGGUUGGGGGAGGCUAACGGCUCUGGACAAUCACCACUACAAACAUUGGUUGAUCAAGCCACCCUUCUUAACCCCUCCCUGGAGUUAUCUGAGGGGGGACAGAAUACAGAGGGACAGUGCAGCUCUGUGGGGGAUGGUGACGUGGGUCAGCAACCAAAUUCACCAUUUCAGUUGGUGUCACAGACUGAGUCCUCGUUGGAAUUGACAAGCGUACCAGUAAAUGAUAGUGGAGAUGAUGGGAGAGCGGCUGCAGUGCCGAGUGAUGAGAAUGCUCGCCCUGUGCGACUGAAGAAAUUACCAGCAUGGGCUAAAGAUUAUCAUCUUCACUCGAGGACGAGUUCUUCUGAAGGAGGAGGGAAUAGUGUGGAAUGUUGAGAUCGCAGGACCAUGUGACUUUACUGAGUGGAUUCACCUGUGGACCGCUUAUGAUGAGACUCUUUAAAAAAGGUGUGCGGGAAAAAGACUCGAGCUCCGAGGUGGUGAGUUGUGGGUUCCGCUGAGCUGUCUCUCGGGGGCAAUAUGCCCUCCGGAGAUGAAGAUAGUUAGCUAGACAGGGCUUCCUAUGUGAGUUAGUUGAGUUAGGGGGGAUAAUAAAUGUUUAGCUGCCCACUACCUCGGUUUCAGCCUCUCUUUUGACCCAGUCCUAUGUUGGUGGGUAAACCGUGGAGUCUAGCCCCGCCUUCUCCACAUUUUAUGAAUGAACUGACUGAGUAUCCUGGCCACGCCUCCAAGCAGCGGACGGACGAAUCUUACAACGGGCCUGUGUGAUCGUGGACGUGCGCCCUGUCCUGCUCCGUGGGAUAACGCUGGUUCCUUUCUACUUGGCUGGGUCUGAAAGGCUGUGUGAAGGGAAGUCUUUUUAAACCUUUAUUUGUGUUUAUUCCUGUUGUACGUGGACUGUGUUUGUGUGCGUGAAAGGCGAUUAGUGCGGGAGGCGGGUGAGGGGGAUACAUGAUUAUAGGGGAUGCGCCUUAAUUUUGUGUGCAGUGAAGAUUGAGGUGUUGGGUGCUAUUUGAAACACUGUUGUAGUGAUGUGGUGAACUCACUGUGUGUAAAGAAAGGGGCGUGAUAAUCGCGUGUAGCCUAUGACGUCUGUAUUUCUCGCCCUGGUACCCGCAUCUAAAUGGCCCUUGUUCUUAAAGUAAAUAAAGUAUUUCUCUUUUGUA